rnacentral:rRNA from 1 species
AAGGAAGUAAAAGUCGUAACAAGGUUUCCGUAGGUGAACCUGCGGAAGGAUCAUUAUCGAAAUAAAUCUAGAGUUGGUUGUUGCUGGCUCUUGACUGAGCAUCUUGUGCACGCCUUCUCUUUAUUUUUCAUCCACACACCCCCUGUGCACUUGUGAGACGGGAGGGGCUUCAAAAACCCCUGUCGUCUAUUUGUCACAUACAAACUCAUUUAAUUUAAACUGAAUGUAAUUGAUGUAACGCAUCAUUUAAACUAAGUUUCAACAACGGAUCUCUUGGCUCUCGCAUCGAUGAAGAACGCAGCGAAAUGCGAUAAGUAAUGUGAAUUGCAGAAUUCAGUGAAUCAUCGAAUCUUUGAACGCACCUUGCGCUCCUUGGUAUUCCUCGGAGCAUGCCUGUUUGAGUAUCAUGAAACUCUCAAAGCAAAGUCUUUUUUGUUAAUUCAAUUGGCUUUACUUUGGACUUGGAGGCUCUUUGCAGAUUGACUUCUGCUCCUCUUAAAUACAUUAGCUGGAUCUCAGUAUAUGCUCGGUUCCACUCGGCGUGAUAAGUUAUCACCCGCUGAGGACACUGUUAAAAAAGGUGGCCGGGAAAUACAGAUGAACCGCUUCUAACGGUCCAUUUAUUUGGACAAUUAGUUUUAAGAUCUGAUCUCAAAUCAGGUAGGACUACCCGCUGAACUUAAGCAUAUCAAU